GAUGAACGCUGGCGGCGUGCCUAAUACAUGCAAGUCGAGCGAACAGACGAGGAGCUUGCUCCUCUGACGUUAGCGGCGGACGGGUGAGUAACACGUGGAUAACCUACCUAUAAGACUGGGAUAACUUAGGGAAACCGGAGCUAAUACCGGAUAAUAUAUUGAACCGCAUGGUUCAAUAGUGAAAGACGGUUUUGCUGUCACUUAUAGAUGGAUCCGCGCCGCAUUAGCUAGUUGGUAAGGUAACGGCUUACCAAGGCAACGAUGCGUAGCCGACCUGAGAGGGUGAUCGGCCACACUGGAACUGAGACACGGUCCAGACUCCUACGGGAGGCAGCAGUAGGGAAUCUUCCGCAAUGGGCGAAAGCCUGACGGAGCAACGCCGCGUGAGUGAUGAAGGUCUUCGGAUCGUAAAACUCUGUUAUUAGGGAAGAACAAAUGUGUAAGUAACUAUGCACGUCUUGACGGUACCUAAUCAGAAAGCCACGGCUAACUACGU
rnacentral:rRNA from 1 species